UACGUAGGGCGCAAGCGUUAUCCGGAAUUACUGGGCGUAAAGAGCUCGUAGGUGGUUUGUCGCGUUGUUCGUGAAAACUCACAGCUUAACUGUGGGCGUGCGGGCGAUACGGGCAGACUGGAGUACUGCAGGGGAGACUGGAAUUCCCGGUGUAGCGGUGAAAUGCGUAGAUAUCAGGAAGAACACCCGUGGCGAAGGCGGCUCUCUGGGACGGUACUGACGCUGAGACGCGAAAGCGUGGGGAGCGAACAGG
rnacentral:rRNA from 1 species